GGGAAGUGGCUCACUGAUGAAUAACGCGUGGGAACGUACCCUUUCCUGCGGAAUAGCUCCGGGAAACUGGAAUUAAUACCGCAUACGCCCUACGGGGGAAAGAUUUAUCGGGGAAGGAUGGGCCCGCGUUGGAUUAGCUAGUUGGUGGGGCAAAGGCCUACCAAGGCGACGAUCCAUACCUGGUCUGAGAGGAUGAUCACCCACAUUGGGACUGAGACACGGCCCAAACUCCUACGGGAGGCAGCAGUGGGGAAUAUUGGACAAUGGGCGCAAGCCUGAUCCAGCCAUGCCGCGUGAGUGAUGAAGGCCUUAAGGUUGUAAAGCUCUUUCACCGAUGAAUAUAAUGACGGUAGUCGGAGAAGAAGCCCCGGCUAACUUCGAGCCAGCACCCGCGGUAAUACGAAGGGGGCUAGCGUUGCUCAGAAUUACUGGGCGUAAAGCGCACGUACGCGGAUAUUUAAGUCUAGGGUGAAAUCCCGCAGCUCAACUGCUGAACUGCCUUUGAUACUGCGUAUCUUGAGUAUGGAAGAGGUAAGUGGAAUUCCCAGUGCAGAGGUGAAAUUCGUAUAUAUUCUGAGGAACACCAGUG
rnacentral:rRNA from 1 species